AAUAAUAGUUGUCACCAUCAUAAAGCUAAACGCUUUUUAAAAUGUAUUUUUAUUAAUAUUUUUUGUGAAAUAUGUCGUCAUCAAGCAGAAGGUCGUUAAUUACCACCCAGCGGACAGGUGUGCAAACCUAAGACUUGUUGUGGUGAGGUCAAACAUCAACAAUCCUCCAGUCACUUUAACACACCAGGAUUAGUCCUCCAUAAAGGGAUGCAAGACAUGCUGACUUUGGAGAGUGAAUGAUGGAUCAUCAGCUUCUCCUACAAGAAAAGAAAACUAUGGUCUCUAAGAACCACUGGACUCUCAAAAGGUGAGGCACCCGAGCCGUGAAACGGUGACCUCAUCUACUUAGAGAAGAUGUUGGAUUGAUGGAUGGAUGGAGAGAUGAGCAGAAGCAAGUCGACGUUCUCUUUAACCUAAGGGACCUCAGGAGAGCCGCUCCCCAGGGAUCAGCUGUAACUAACAGCAGCAGCCUUGCAGAAAUCACCUGAGCAACUCAGGAUGAAAGUUAAAGCCGUCAUGAAACUGCUUCAACUCUGACAAAUUACCCACCAAGCAUUUGGUAUGCCGAGCAAGAGGACAGGAGUGACCUUUGACUCCAGGGGAACUGUGAGCUGCCACCGUUCUCCUCCAAGUGGCGUCCCGUCAGCGUCAACCGAGCGUGCCUAAGCCGUGAGGACAGAGCGUUGAGGUGAGGCGGACCACAGAGGUGGGAAAUGAAGAGGUCAUUUUUCAACAUAACGACGA